rnacentral:lncRNA from 1 species
CCAGUGCUCAGGGCAGGAGAGAAGCAGGGAUAAAGAUGCCAUUCAGACAAAUUGGAGCCAACAGGGGCAGGUGUUGGGGGGGCACAAGUGGGAGGGGAGAAGGAACAUGUCUGCUGCCCUGGCAGCCAGUCCCUGCCUUUCCACUCCCUCAAUCCCCUUGGAACUUCUGGAUUCUCAGCUCUUGACUUCCACAAACCAAAAACUGAUCCACUUGGCCUCAUGGGGCUGGGCAGGCUUCGUUUUUCUUAUUUUACAUCUGUGAAAGGGGAGUGCCGCUCUCUGCAUGACUCAAGUUUGUCGGCAUGAAGAUUCAUCACUUUGGAAAGAUGGGUCCUCCAGAGUGCUAAGGGGUCAUGAGAGCCGCCGUCCAAUCUUACUUCAAGGGGCAUCACUGAGAUAAGUAGAGGAGAAUCCCAGAUCUUU